AGAAACCAUCUAUGUUUGUGGAGAUUGAUCUGGGAGACCAUGCUGAAGAGGUGGUCACAUGUGCCAUGAGAGAAGACAAGUGGUCCCAAAUGGACAUGGGGGAUUUGUCAGAAGAUGAGACCAGGACCAGCUGGGUGUGCUGCAUUCCAUACUCCACCAGAAAGAAGGUGAAGGAGAGCGUGUAGCGGCCCUGGAGAAGGUCGGCCAGGAGGUGCAGAGGGACGCAGACAAGCAGCCCUGAAAACCCCACAGGAACCUGUUUGAAGGGCACCAAUGACACGCGUGUGAAUCACUGACCCACUGGAUGAGCCAUGAU